AAAUUUCACAUGGCCUAUCAAUAUUCCUAUACUAUAAAUGAGAAUAACCAGGCAGCUCAUGGUCAACAUGUCUGCCUUGCUAAUACAUAGAGUUGUUUCGCCCUUACUUUAUCAGCCUAUUACUUACCUUUUUUCUUUAGUUUUCUGUAAAUCCUACAUGCUUUGAGCCCUUUUUUGUAAACUGCUUUGCAUCACUUUUGAACUUGUCAUUAUCAUGGUGGGACCUAUUCAAAAUUCUAUUUCUAUACUAUUGUUAUCUUCCUAACAAAAUUUCACAUGGCUUAUCAAUAUUCCUAUACUAUAAAUGAGAAUAACUAGACAGCUCAUGGCCAAUAUGUCUGUCUGGCUAUUACAUAGAGUUAUUUCGCCCUUACUUUAUCUGCUUAUUACUUACCUUUUUUCUUUAGUUUUCUGUAAAUCCUACAUGCUUUGAUCCCUUUUUGGUAAACUGCUCUACAUCACUUUUAAACUUGUCAUUAUCAUGAUGGGACCUAUUUAAAAUUCUAUUCCUAUACUAUUGUUAUCUUCCUAACAAAAUUUCAUAUGACCUAUCAAUAUUCCUAUACUAUAAAUGAGAAUAACCAAGCAGCUCAUGGUCAACAUGUCUCUCGUCUAUUACAGAGAGUUGUUUUGCCCUUACUUUAUCUAUUUAUUACUUACCGUUUUUCUUUAGUUUUCUGUAAAUCCUACAUGCUUUGAGCCCUUUUUGGUAAACUACUCUCCAUCACUUUUGAACUUGUCAUUAUCAUGGUGGGACCUCUUUAAAAUUC
rnacentral:lncRNA from 1 species